GAUGAACGCUGGCGGCGUGCCUAAUACAUGCAAGUCGAACGGCAGCGGGGGAGAAGCUUGCUUUUCCUGCCGGCGAGUGGCGAACGGGUGAGUAAUACAUCGGAACGUGCCCUGUAGUGGGGGAUAACUAGUCGAAAGAUUAGCAAAUACCGCAUACGACCUGCGGGUGAAAGUGGGGGACCGCAAGGCCUCAUGCUAUAGGAGCGGCCGAUGUCUGAUUAGCUAGUUGGUGGGGUAAAGGCCUACCAAGGCGACGAUCAGUAGCUGGUCUGAGAGGACGAUCAGCCACACUGGGACUGAGACACGGCCCAGACUCCUACGGGAGGCAGCAGUGGGGAAUUUUGGACAAUGGGCGAAAGCCUGAUCCAGCAAUGCCGCGUGUGUGAAGAAGGCCUUCGGGUUGUAAAGCACUUUUGUCCGGAAAGAAAUGGCUCUGGUUAAUACCUGGGGUCGAUGACGGUACCGGAAGAAUAAGGACCGGCUAACUACGUGCCAGCCGCCGCGGUAA
rnacentral:rRNA from 1 species